UGCAGUGCGCGGGCUUCUCAUUGCGGUGGCUUCUCUUGUUGCAGAGCACGGGCUCUGGGCGCGCAGGCUUCAGUAGUUGUGGCACGUGGGCUCAGUAGUUGUGGCUUGAGGGCUCUAGAGCUCAGGCUCAGUAGUUGUGGCACACGGGCUUAGUUGCUCCGUGGCACGUGGGAUCUUCCCAGGCCAGGGCUCGAACCCAUGUCCCCUGCAUUGGCAGGCGGCUUCUUAACCACUGCGCCACCAGGGAAGCCCCCAAGGGCAGGUAAGUUUCAGUCACCUGCACCUGCGAUGCUCUCCCCACAGCUGUCUGCCACCCCUCCCCCAGCCACAUUCUGUCCCGCCUUCGAACCUCCCCGCACCUGGUUCUCAUCACAGCAUCUCUCCCUCUCUGGUGGUUGCGCACCUCAAGUCUGCACCACCCUCCGGUUACGCACUUUUCCGACAGGUCUGCGGUGUUACCCUAAGAUAAAAACGGAACGAAGGCUCUGCCCAGCGCUUCAACCUCCCAGGCCGGCACACAGGCCACCGGGGAAGUGGGUCGAGCUGGUCUGAGGGACUCGACGCUCGCGGCUUUCCCUCCCUUGGGCUACAACCUGCCCAGUGACCGGCGGGGCGGGGCUCUUUCAUAAUCGGCCGCCCAAUAGCGGCGCGAGGGGGCCUCGUGUGGGCGGGCAGCGCGAGAGCGCGGGGUAGGGGCGGCAAGGCGGCCGCUGCGGGGAGGUAGACCCCUCUAGGCAGCCGGUGCCUGGGUUGGGGGCGCCGCUCGGGGUAGCGCGUCUGCUUUGAGGUUCUCGGAGUCCGCGGUGCGGAGCUGGGCACCGUCGGACGUCCGCAGCGACUGCGCGCUGCGCGGAAAGGCGUGUGGCGUGGGACGCACGCGCCGAGGAGCCGGGGCGCAGCGGCGGGAGUUCGCGGGACCUCUCCGCCCCCGGGUGGGCGGGGCUCCCGCGGGCUGUCCAGUUCCAAGCCGGCUCUUCUGCACUCCGGCCCGAGGUCAGAGGCGCCCGACCUUUGGCCCAGCUAACCAGGGUGUUCCCGGCGGCCCUUUCUCCGCCGUCGGUGCCCAGGACGCGAAGUCCCUCCGUGGAACGAAGAGCCCGGGUGUCUCCCCGGGUCCCGGCGCCUCUCGGGAACCUGUGAUCCCACCCCGUGCCGAGCCCCUGCCGGGGCCCUGAGGCCGUUCUGAGGGAGCUCCUAACUAAACGGUUGAACGGCUGCGGGUGUAGACGACCCGACCAGCUCCAGCAGGCUGCGCGCAGGACCAGAAGCGGGAGUCCGCCCGGCUCCGGACUCGCUGGAGUGAGGAGAGCUGACAUGGGGGGCACCCACCCUGAGCCGCUGGCAUCUUGUGAGGAAGAUGCAGCCAGCAACUCUGCCCGAGGCCACCGCACACAGGGAAGGAGAUGCUCCAGCCAGUGCUGGACCAGCUGGACAUUGGUGAGUGGACCAUGUGCCCUGGGCACCUGCAGGAGAUCAGCAUGUCUGGAGCCUCCUCUCUGGCCCAGGAGGCUGGAUGCAUGUGGAAGCAGAGGAACCACAGGAUGUGGGCUGUGGCCGGUGCCAGUGGCAGCCACAUGCUUCCUCUGGCCUGUCUGUCCACUCGGCUUCCCCUGGGGCUGCUGUGUGUCCCGGGUGUGGAUCAGGGACAGAAGCCUGAGCUGCCAGCCCUGCCCUGAGACUGUGGACACAGGCCAUGCCGGCUGGCUCCUGGCUUUGCCGUCUGACUGUCUGAUCCGAGCCUCCUUUGAACUCUGGUCCAUGUCUAGCCCAGCAGGUGGGAGGAAUUGGCCGUGAUGCUCUGCUUGUUCUUAGACUCCUGAGCAGGGCUUUCCAGGUGGGAGGGGCUCCUGCUUACCUUCUAGCCCAUUCUCCAGUUCACCCCAUCCCCUGGCCGAGGCCUGGAGAGCCAGGGGUGAGGCCGGCUGGGAGCCAGCAGUUGGUACCGGACCUUUAGAGGCGUUGUCCAGAUACCGUCUGCUGCUUGGUGACCUGAGGACAUAACACACCCCUAGGCUUAGAUCUUUCUUAAAAGGAGAAUUUUCUUUUUUUUAGUCAACAACUUGCAUAAAACCUGCUUUUUCUUUCUUUCUUUCUUUCCUUUUCUUUUUUAAAAUUUAUUUUUACUGAUAUACAAUAGGCAACAUUCUAUUAGUUUCAGGUGCACAACAUAAUGACUUGGUACGUGUAUAUAUUGCAAGUAAAUGGAGAAUUUUUAUACUGGCA